rnacentral:rRNA from 1 species
UGGGGAAUAUUGGGCAAUGGGCGAAAGCCUGACCCAGCAACGCCGCGUGAGUGAUGAAGGCCUUCGGGUUGUAAAACUCUUUGGACAGGGACGAAGAAAGUGACGGUACCUGUAGAACAAGCCACGGCUAACUACGUGCCAGCAGCCGCGGUAAUACGUAGGUGGCAAGCGUUGUCCGGAAUUAUUGGGCGUAAAGCGCGCGCAGGUGGUUUAGAAAGGCUGAUGUGAAAGCCCACGGCUCAACCGUGGAGGGUCAUUGGAAACUAAUAAACUUGAGUGCAGGAGAGAAAAGUGGAAUUCCUAGUGUAACGAUGAAAUGCGUAGAGAUUAGGAGGAACACCGGUGGCGAAAGCGGCUUUUUGGCCUGCAACUGACACUGAGGCGCGAAAGCGUGGGGAGCAAACAGG